rnacentral:rRNA from 1 species
AUUGAACUCUGGCGGCAGGCCUAACACAUGCAAGUCGAACGAGUGGCGGACGGGUGAGUAAUGUCUGGGAAACUGCCUGAUGGAGGGGGAUAACUACUGGAAACGGUAGCUAAUACCGCAUACCAUCAGAUGUGCCCAGAUGGGAUUAGCUAGUUGGGGGGGUAACGGCUCACCUAGGCGACGAGCCCUAGCUGGUCUGAGAGGAUGACCCGCCACACGGGACCUGGGACACUGUCCAUACUCCUACGGGAGGCGUCCUGGGGGAAUAUUGCACAAUGGGCGAAAUCCGGAUGCAUCCAUGCCGCGUGUAUGAAUAAGGCCUUCGGUUUGUAAAGUACUUUCAGCGAGGAGGCGUUACCCGCAGAAGCAGCACCGGCUAACUCCGUGCCAGCAGCCGCGGUAAUUC